rnacentral:lncRNA from 1 species
GGCAUGCUCGAAUCUCCCAAACAAACAUAACCUUUUAACCGACUGGGCCUUAACUGAUUGGGUGUGUCUUGCAUACACUCUCUCUCUUUGAUUGUCACUUUCCUGCAAGCUGAGAUUGGAAACUUCACUCAAAUUUUGAUAUAUAAAUGUUAGAUUUCUUACCAAAAGGGUUCGCCUGGAUUCCUAUAAUGUUGUGAAAGCCUUCGCAGAGCACAAAAGAAGGGUAGAUUGCUCUUGCUCUUUCAUCAUUGUUCAAAAGAUCCAAGACCCAUCUCUCAUUGAACGAAUAUGUGGUAACCCUUUUCUAUUGAGUGUCUAAUUUCCAAUUGAUUGAGCUCAAAAUCUUGUAUUUUUUGGAGGGCAGCUCAAGUUUUUGAAAUUUGUCUGGUGGGUAUUUUUGGUUUGAUAAUUUUAUUUGAGAUUCAGUUAAUUCAAUGAUGGGCUUUUGAAAUUUGCUCUGGUUUUUCAACAGUAGUUACUGUUACUUCUGUAUAGAUUAAGAAAUUUAUUGUUCAAAGAUUCUACCAUUGUUUUGAUUGCGAGAGAAAGUAGCAUUUUGACUUGGGUUUUCAGUUUUGUUCUUUUGAGAAUAUUAAAAUUAUCGGUCCUGUUGGCUUGGAUUGAAACUGGAAGGAAUUUCUGCUGUGAUGAGAUUACCUCAGCAAGGACUUGAAAAAUCCUCAUUUAUAUUGUUCUUUGAAGUGUUAUCCAUUUGUAGUUUCGUUUUGGGAUUCUUGCAAUUGAAACUUUGAUACAAGUACUUCGCUUGGUGAGGUUUUUUGCCUCGAGUUUGUACUAAUUUUCGCUGCUGUUGUUUCCUUAUGAGGAGUAAUUCACCUGACUGAACUGGAUAUCUAAUGUGAUUCUGCUGUGGGUCUAUUUGUAUGAGUUCUACACAAUUAUAAGUAUGUUUUUGAAUUCUUUUGGUAAAGAAAAAUAGCUAAGAAGGGCUCAUUCAACUGC